rnacentral:rRNA from 1 species
CCUACGGGUGGCUGCAGUGAGGAAUAUUGGUCAAUGGACGAGAGUCUGAACCAGCCAAGUAGCGUGAAGGAUGACUGCCCUAUGGGUUGUAAACUUCUUUUAUAUGGGAAUAAAACGUUCCACGUGUGGGAUUUUGUAUGUACCAUAUGAAUAAGGAUCGGCUAAUUCCGUGCCAGAGGCCGGGGUAAUACGGAGGUUCCGAGCGUUAUCCGGAUUUAUUGGGUUUAAAGGGAGCGUAGGUGGAUUGUUAAGUCAGUUGUGAAAGUUUGGGGCUCAACCGUAAAAUUGCCGUUGAAACUGGAAGACUUGAGUGUGUUAGAGGUAGGCGGAAUGCGUGGUGUAGCGGUGAAAUGCUUAGAUAUCACGAAGAACUCCGAUUGCGAAGGCAGCUUACUGGGCUGCAACUGACACUGAGGCUCGAAAGCGUGGGGAUCAAACAGGAUUAGAUACCCGGGUAGUC